UGUUAUUGUAAACGAAAUUUCAUGAUCUAUCCGCCCUACGAGCAAUGUUAAUCGGCAGGAAUAAAUACGAGUUUAUAACAAAAAGAUGAAAAACAAGAAAAGUCUGGCCCUGAAAUAAUUAGAUGCACGACGCGCCUGAACACACAUUCCGAUUAUCAACUCACUUAUUCCCGCGUGAAUUCGAUAACCAAUAAGCCCCAAUAUGCUGUUAUCAACCGUCUCAUUUAAUCAGUUCCAUUCUCCCUCAUUCGAUAUGUAAACAACUGAAGCAUUUGGUUGGCUCGGAAAAAUUACUCUCCUCGGAGCAAAAGUAAGCCCGAUUCAUUCCUUCUAUUUUAAGCAAUUACCCAACACUGACGUCACACAACAACGCUCGAAGAUCGAGUAACUGACAUGUUCCACGUUUAGUUUAUUCUUUUAUUCCUCUUUUUUUUCAUAACAUUUGAGUCAUCAUGCAAGCGGAUUCAGGUCUGUGUAAAUUCUUUCUCGAGGGUCAUCCUCUUGAGACUCACCGAGCUGAUGUUCAAUGGGAUUAUUAUAUCGAUCAAUAGCUUGUUUCAGUGGUGAUGAUUUAGGAGGCAGGGAGAGGCUUGAGCAGAGUAAUUGAGAGUGACGAUUAAUCCAAACAAGUGCAAGACCUCAUUAUCUACCCCUCAGUAAGUAAUAAAUGUUGCUUUGCCUGAGACAGUAUCGCAUCGUACUUCAAUAGUCUAUACACUGAACACACCAGAUAUUCUCGUUACGAAUUUCUAGUAUUCCAUCUUCAAUUCCUGCCCUUUCUUCUAAUCAUUCUAUUAAAGGACGAGGGAGAAAAUUGAUUGGAUGACUUUCCCGUUGUUGGAUAAAACAUAUAGCAAUAAUGAGGAUUAAUCUAAUCGUGGAAAGAUAGGAAAGAAAAUACAGUAGAUUAGUAUAAAUUAAUCUAGUGGUGACGGUGGAGCGCCCGUUCGCUAGUUGACAAUAACACGUAUCGAGCCUGGUGGAGAGAAACGCAUCAUCAAAUGGGCCCUGAGAAUUGAAUUAAUAUGAGACAAUUGAAAAUUCCAUGCUCAACUGACGAAUCAGUCAAAUAAAAAACACAAAAUA